UACGUAGGGUGCAAGCGUUAAUCGGAAUUACUGGGCGUAAAGCGUGCGCAGGCGGCUUGCCAAGUCAGAUGUGAAAGCCCCGGGCUCAACCCGGGACUGCGUUUGAAACUGGCAGGCUAGAGUUUGGCAGAGGGGGGUGGAAUUCCACGUGGUAGCAGUGAAAUGCGUAGAGAUGUGGAGGAAUACCGAUGGCGAAGGCAGCCCCCUGGG
rnacentral:rRNA from 1 species